GACGUAGGGCGCGAGCGUUGUCCGGAUUUAUUGGGCGUAAAGAGCUCGUAGGCGGCUUGUCGCGUCGACUGUGAAAACCCGCGGCUCAACUGCGGGCCUGCAGCCGAUACGGGCAGGCUAGAGUUCGGUAGGGGAGACUGGAAUUCCUGGUGUAGCGGUGAAAUGCGCAGAUAUCAGGAGGAACACCGGUGGCGAAGGCGGGUCUCUGGACCAAUACUGACGAUCAGGUGCGAAAGCCAGGGGAGCGAACGGG
rnacentral:rRNA from 1 species